rnacentral:rRNA from 1 species
CCUACGGGGAGCAGCAGUGGGGAAUAUUGGACAAUGGGGGGAACCCUGAUCCAGCGACGCCGCGUGAGUGAAGAAGUAUUUCGGUAUGUAAAGCUCUAUCAGCAGGGAAGAAAGAAAUGACGGUACCUGACUAAGAAGCCCCGGCUAACUACGUGCCAGCAGCCGCGGGAAUACGUAGGGGGCAAGCGUUAUCCGGAUUUACUGGGUGUAAAGGGAGCGUAGACGGCGAUGCAAGUCUGAAGUGAAAGGCGGGGGCCCAACCCCUGGACUGCUUUGGAAACUGUAUGGCUGGAGUGCAGGAGAGGUAAGUGGAAUUCCUAGUGUAGCGGUGAAAUGCGUAGAUAUUAGGAGGAACACCAGUGGCGAAGGCGGCUUACUGGACUGUAACUGACGUUGAGGCUCGAAAGCGUGGGGAGCAAACAGGAUUAGAUACCCCAGUAGUC